GAUCUUACAGGGUACUGCUACUGGUAUCGUGAUUUCAUGUACCAUAUAUACCUCGCUGUAGGCGGCGGCGGCGGCGGCCAUGGACUUCGUGCUCCAGGUCCUGCUGCGGGUGGUGAUGAGAAGAAGCAUCCGCAGGCUGCAAGAGGUCGUUGACAUCGCCGUGGACAUCGGCACGGCUGUCUUCGUGGCCGUGCGGGUCUCCGGCCUCGUCUUCCGCCGCCGGCUGCCCACGCCGACUACGACAUCGUCGUCGUCGACGACGUACUACUACUCCCCGGGGACGUCCUCCUCGAUCGGCAUGCAUGUCCAGGAGGAUUAAUUAUUGACAGGCACUAGAUGAGCUAGCUAGCUAGCUAGGGCCAGAAGAUGUAUACUUCUCGCGGGGGCAUGUAAGUACUAAGGUCAUAUAUCUGUGCGUUCUUUUUUGUGGAAUCAAACUAAUUUCGCUAGCUACCCUAAUAUAUAUGUUGUGCUACUGCUCUACCUAUAUACAUGUGUAAUUUGAGGAAUUGAGGCCGCAAAUCAAAACAAA
rnacentral:lncRNA from 1 species